rnacentral:misc_RNA from 1 species
GCAAACUUGGUCAUUUAGAGGAAGUAAAAGUCGUAACAAGGUCUCCGUUGGUGAACCAGCGGAGGGAUCAUUACCGAGUUUACAAACUCCCAAACCAUUGUGAAUCUUACCUCUUUGUUGCCUCGGCGGGACCGCCCCGGGUGCUUCGGCGCCCCGGACCCAGGCGCCCGCCGGGGGCAUCAGACUCUCGCAGUAUAGUGUAUAUCUGAGUGGAUUAGCUAAAUAAUCAAAACUUUCAACAACGGAUCUCUUGGUUCUGGCAUCGAUGAAGAACGCAGC